GGAUGUUUUCCAGCUUGUUGGUCUCCCUCUCAUUGAAAAUUGUUUAGCUGUAUUUAACAGUUCAGUGGUUGCCUAUGGGGAGUGGAAAGACUUAUAUGCCAUGUGGGGACUAGCUAACGCCUUGUUGGAAGAAAACUUAUCAAGUGAUCAACAAGGCUUAACUCCCCGUAUUUUUGAGCGACUCUUUUCCUGCAUAAAUGAGGUGAGGUUCAAGGUUUUCAGGAUUCAACUUGUCGAGGUAUUAAUCCUUUGCAUUUUCAUGAUAUUAACCCCUUGUACUUUCUUUGGAGAAACAAAUCAAGCAUGCUGAAAAACAGCUAAAUUUAAUGGUACUAUUAAAGAUAAAAAAUUACAUGAACACUUUUAAAGAUCUCUCUAACUUGAGGUCUUUAAAAGUGUGCAUGUAAAUGAAAUGGUAUCAUUCUAAGUUAAUGAAGCCCUCACUAUUCGAACUGAGUUGAACUAUUAUCAACUGAGAACUUAAUGAAGCCCUCACUAUUCCAACUGAGUGGAAGCAAUUCAGAGGGUAUCAUUCUGUAACCGUAUCCUAUGAUUACAUGAUCUGAAUCUGAUUCAAUAACCACAAUGGCUGGAAAAUGAUUACAGAGUGAGCCCAAAAAACGAGCUUCUCGUUAACAAAAAGGUUAAGUCGAACUUCGAAAGCAUUGCUGCUCCACCUUCGUGUGUGUGGCGAUGAUAAGAUGGCACACGCAGCGAAACCAAUUAAGUUAUCAUUAAGGCAACCUGGUGGAAGCUUUAUAAAAUUUUCACUACUUAUAAAGUUAAACCAGUCUGAAAUUUCUCUUAAUUCAUUUAUUUUCCUUCGUCUAACAAAUUUUUCAAAACCUAAUUCCUAAUGACAAGUGUUGAGGAGUAUUUUUGGGCUGGGACAGAUGGCUUAUUGUAGUUGGUCAGGAGGGAAAUUGUGUUAUGGUGAGAGAGUAAGAUGAGAAUAAAAAGAAAGGAGAGAAAGAGAACUGUUUUAUCGAGAAAAUUAUACAAAAUAUAGUUGAUAAAUUGUUGGUUGCUUUUUGAUAAAUUGUUGCUCCUCGUUUUCAUUUGUGGUUGUGUGGGAUUGAAUACUAACAUAAUCUUUUCAAUUUUUCUUUUAUUUAUUGCAAAGAUAAUAGGAAAAGAAGAUAAGUAGUAGGGGUGCUGUCGAACCGAGUAGCUCAUGAGCUACUCGGAUUCGACUCGUGACGAACUCAGGCUCGACUCAUCAGAAAUCGAGUAGUUCACGAGUUCGAGCUCAUCUUCAAGCUCGUGAAAAAUAUCAAGCUUUUCGGGCUCGAUUCGAACUGCUUGCAAGCUUUUGAGAAACUCGAAACGUCAUUCGAGUAGGAGAGCUCGUGAGAUCGAUCGGUUUGGCAAAGCUCGUGUAUUCAUAUUUGCCCUAAAAUCUGAAAUAAAGUCAUUCGGCCGAAAACAGAGACAUUCAGCUACUCACCUCCGCCAAAACAAAUUGCAAGAUCUGAGACACCACCAUUGUCCAGCCUUCAUUCCGCUACUACUGACUAGCGAACAACUUCAGCUACUACUGUCCACCGCCAUUUUCCCUUCUUCACUUCUAUUUUGUUAUUUUGUUAAUGUUAUGUAGGAACUGAGAUCAGUUAGAAGCAUUAUCUAAGAAGCUCAAGGCAAAAACUGUUAGAACAGAGGCUCCUUCUCAGUCUAUUGCUGCCACAAGCUUUUCUUGGUCACUUUGUUAGAUGCUAAAGUUUGAUGUGGAAAUAGAAAUACAUACAUAAAGCUAGCAUAGUAGCCAAGACAGAGAUGGAGAUAGGAAAGGCAUGUGAAGAAAUUACAGAAUUGGAGCUAAAAGAACAAAAAGUUUUGCUAGUUGUGACAAAUAAGUUGCCUCCAUAAUUAGUUCUUCCUUCUUUUAAUGACUUUUUUGUAGUUACUUUUCUUUUUUAUUCUUUUCAAUAGCUUUGUUUAGUUGCUCUACGCUUAACCUUUUGGGCCAUAAAAGCAGGUGCUUUCAAAGAUCCUUCAUAUCAGCUCCAAUUUUAUGUAUAAUAAUAAUGUAUCUAAAUUCAAUUAAUGUUUUAAUUAUGGUAUUGUAUUAAUUAAUCAAGCUCUGGCCCCACUAGUCUUUUCUCUAACUGUAACCUAUAUUUUCUUCCGCCAACUUUGUGAUGAUUUUGAGUUGGUAAGACUAGAGGUCUCUUCUCUUCCGCCAAAGGAUCCCCACUGCCACGUGAUUUUCAUAUUUUGAUUUAGACAACUUAGUUUUAAUGAUCAGAAAUGGUUUCAAGAAUCCAACUCUUUCUACUGUCAGUUUACCUUCGGUGUUUGUUUUUGCUAAUCUACUAGUUCCUCUUGUUUUUGCUUUUCCCUACACAUCAACACCUGGUAACAAACUCUGCAGUUCAGUGCAGUGCAGUUCAGAUUUCGUUUUGUUUGUGAGGAGUGAAAUAUGAUUUUAAUUGGCUUCGUUGGGUUUCAGUCAUCUAUAGUUUUGUAGUUUGCUUACAAUCUUGACUCGCAAAUGUUUGAUGAUUCAAGAAUUGUGGGCUUUUUCUACCACUCUCUUAGAAAUCAAUUCGAUGUGAUUAUCCAUUAAAAAGUACCCAUGGUAAGAAAGCAUUACUUUUUUAUGUUUUUAGUAAAAUACAAAACCCUUUUCAUGUUACACAUAUUAGUAAGUUAAAGAAAUUUGAUAGAAAAGAUGUUACCUUUUUUCAGCCUCAAAUGCUGUUUAUUUGAUUUAUGGCCAAGUUGUUUACUUAAUUAUUUUGUUUGAGUUUUGUUGCAUUUUUGUUUUCUAAAUUAAAGGAAAUGGUACUGUUGUCA